UACGAAGGGGGCUAGCGUUGCUCGGAAUCACUGGGCGUAAAGCGCACGUAGGCGGAUCUUUAAGUCAGGGGUGAAAUCCCAAGGCUCAACCUUGGAACUGCCUUUGAUGCUGGGGAUCUCGAGUCCGGAAGAGGUUGGUGGAACUGCGAGUGUAGAGGUGAAAUUCGUAGAUAUUCGCAAGAACACCAGUGGCGAAGGCGGCCAACUGGUCCGGAACUGACGCUGAGGUGCGAAAGCGUGGGGAGCAAACAGG
rnacentral:rRNA from 1 species